rnacentral:misc_RNA from 1 species
AGCUUAUUCGGUCAAGCCCAAUGGUAUUUGAUGUUGGGCUUUGCUUUUGGGCAUGCCUUAAAAGCAGUGACGGUACGUUGAACCACGAACGCACAAAUGUCGUUAUGUUGGGGGGAUGUUAUCGGGCUCACGAUUGAUCUUUUUGAUUGAUCAUUUCAAAUGUUGACCUCGGAUCAGGUAGGAAUACCCGCUGAACUUAA